rnacentral:rRNA from 1 species
UACGAGUGCCUCAAGCGUUAUCCGGAAUCAUUGGGCGUAAAGGGUGUGUAGGUGGUUUUGUUAGUCUCGCGUUAAAUUCUUCGGCUCAACCGGGGGCAUGCGCGGGAAACGGCAAGACUUGAGGAUGAGAGAGGUCUCUGGAACUCUAGGUGUAGCGGUGAAAUGCGUUGAUAUCUAGGGGAACACCAAAAGCGAAGGCAAGAGACUAGAGCAUUCCUGACACUGAAACACGAAAGCGUGGGUAGCGAAUGGG